CCUCUGCCACGGCUACAAGCAUUUUUAAAAUUCAAUUAUUAAAGUUGAAGCAAGAAUACUUUAUAAUGUUAAAAUUGCUGUUGUUUGGGGGUUUAUUUUUUAUGAGCUCCGUUUUGGCUGAAUAAUCAACUGAGAGUGAGAUUCGUGAAAUUUGCGAAAAUGUCGUAAAAAAGCAAUUUGAGCAUCUGAAAUCAACACUACCAGUUGGACCACCUGGAAUACAAGGAUACCCAGGACUUCCGAGACUUAUUGGAGUUCCAGGUUUACAGGGAGAAAAAGGUCCUAGAGGCUUUCCUGGUUAUGAUGAUCUCCGGACCAAAAAGAAGAGUCAUGUAAAGCAUGGUGAGAAGAUCUAAAAAUCGUAAUAUUGAACAAGGUCAUUUAAUCCAAGCCUUUUUUUGUAUCUUCCUAGGGGUUUUUAUCUCAAUCAAAACACUGUGAAUAUUGCGUAUAUUUUGCGUAUAUUCACUGCGAAUAUUCGAAAAAUAUUCGCAAGAUACGUACAUUCAAUGCAUUAUUUGUAAAAUAUGCAUAGUAUAUGUACCAUCAAAUAAUAUAUAUUCGCGAACAGAUAAAUUCCCCUAGGUAUCUUCCAUUUUUAUUUAAAGAGGAAAUUUUGGUUUGUUUCGUUUGGACUGUAGGACAACUUCUUCUCAUAUUCUUUUGAUGACGACAUAACAACGAUAAUGUGAUAAGAAUACCAGCAUAUAUAAAAACAUAUUUUCUAUAUUUUAAUUCAUAAGCCUUCUGCUUUCCGAGUUUGAUUAGAAAGUAAGAUAUGCGAUUUACAAUUGAAAUUAAAA